rnacentral:rRNA from 1 species
GAGGGGGAUAACGUCUGGAAACGGACGCUAAUACCGCAUGAGACCACAGCUACACAUGGAGCGGCGGUCAAAGGAGCAAUCCGCUGAAAGAUGGACUCGCGUCCGAUUAGAUAGUUGGCGGGGUAACGGCCCGCCAAGUCGACGAUCGGUAGCCGGACUGAGAGGUUGAACGGCCACAUUGGGACUGAGACACGGCCCAGACUCCUACGGGAGGCAGCAGUGAGGGAUAUUGGUCAAUGGGGGAAACCCCGAACCAGCAACGCCGCGUGAGGGAAGACGGUUUUCGGAUUGUAAACCUCUGUCCUCUGUGAAGAUAGUGACGGUAGCAGAGGAGGAAGCUCCGGCUAACUACGUGCCAGCAGCCGCGGUAAUACGUAGGGAGCGAGCGUUGUCCGGAUUUACUGGGUGUAAAGGGUGCGUAGGCGGCUCUGCAAGUCAGAAGUGAAAUCCAUGGGCUUAACCCAUGAACUGCUUUUGAAACUGUAGAGCUUGAGUGAAGUAGAGGUAGGCGGAAUUCCCGGUGUAGCGGUGAAAUGCGUAGAGAUCGGGAGGAACACCAGUGGCGAAGGCGGC